rnacentral:rRNA from 1 species
AGCACGACUCUCAGCAACGGAUAUCUCAGCUCUCACCACGAUGAAGAAUGUAGCAAAAUGCGAUGCUUAGUGUGAACUACAGAAUCCCGUGAAUCAUCGAGUCUUUGAACGCAAGUUGCGCCCGAGGCCUUGGCCGAGGGCACGUCUGCUUGGGUGUCGCAC